rnacentral:rRNA from 1 species
AUGGUCAAAGAUCUCUUGGUCGAUAAUAUUGAUGGGCAUGUUAUUUACUUCUGUAAUGAAGGUGCUAGAAUUGCUAGACCCGAUACUAAAAAUAAACAUAGACCUGUUGUAGGCAUGCCUAUUAUUUCUGUCAAAAUAGGAGAUCAUGUUUAUCAUGGCUUAUGUGAUAUGGGUGCUAGUGCAAGUGCAAUACCUCACUCCUUAUACGAAGAAAUUAUGCAUGAUAUUGCACCUGCUGAGAUAGAAGGUAUUGAUGUUACAAUUAAGCUUGCCAACAGGGAUACUAUUUCACCAGUUGGGAUUGUUAGAGAUGUUGAAGUCUUGUGUGGGAAACUUAAAUAUCCUACUGAUUUUCUUGUUCUUGGUUCCCCACAAGAUGACUUUUGCCCCAUUAUAUUUGGUAGACCCUUCUUGAAUACUGUUAAUGCUAGGAUAGAUUGCGAAAAGGAUAUUAUUACUGUUGGUUUAGGGGAUAUGUCUCAUGAUUUUAAUUUUGCUAAAUUUCGUAGACAACCCCAUGAUAAGGAAUUGCCUAGUAAAGAUGAAAUUAUUGGUCUUGCUUCUAUUGUC